rnacentral:lncRNA from 1 species
CAGGGGACUUAGAGGUCUCCGUACCUUAGACCGGCCGUUCACGAUCGUACCUUACCCGAUGGUGGCCGAUGGCAAGGGACGAUCUUCCUCCGAGUUCGGAGAGGCUAGAGCUGGCGGUCGGCGUGACCGUCGGUGCCUUAAAAUCCAGGAAAAGGGAGAGGCCGAACAGGGCUUCCCUUUUCCGACGACUCCUGUUGUCGGCAGUCAUGCCCAUC